rnacentral:ncRNA from 1 species
UCGUCAACAGUUUGGCGAUAUAGGGGAUAAGCGGCAGGUUCAGAACCAAAAGAACCAGAUUGCCAAUAUACAUCGAGAUAAUAACCGCCCAGAACACAUCAGGCUCAUCGGUCAUCAAUCUUGGGCC